AAAUUAAAACCAGCUCAUCCUACCACCAUCAUAACUCUAAUCUGAAAAUUUAUUGCAUUGGGUCAUGUGGUCUUUCUGGUAUUUUCUGAGGGUUUAUGGCUGGGACGAGGAAGGGGUUUCACCGCAGUAAUUAAGCAGUUGGGAGGAGACACAUUCCUGGGAGUGAUAUGCCAUUGUCUGUCCUCUUAACGAGAUGUUGUGCAAAAUCGGUUUUGCUGAUAUAAUCCGUUAUUUUGCUGUGCGUUAUAGAAAGAUAGCUUCCUCCAAGCUGAGUUGGCCUGGAAGAUGCAGAUCUAGACUUUUAAAUUUAGAAAAAAAACUCUUGAAAUUAAUUCAUAGCAAAAGGGAUUCCAACCAACAUGUCUCUAUUAGGUUACAUUCAGCUUAAACUACACCAGAAGAAAAGAAGACAGGUAAUCAGGAAAUGGUUUGGAUGGAAUCAGUGAGUUUGUCUCAGUUUCUUCCUCUUCAACUGUAUCUUGCUCUUGUAUGAUUAUCUAUUCCACUUUUGCCUAUUAACCUAAUGUGCAGUUACCUGGUAGAUUUAAGAAACCCGUCGCACUACAAAUAUUGCAACAUAAGAAUGAUUUGUUUUUUUGUUUUUUUAAAGCAGGUUUUCUCCUGAGAACAAACAGGAGCACAGAGGCUGCACAGAGGAUGAACAUUUUAGGAAAAACACGUCAUUGCUGCCUUAAUGGGACUUAUGGAAGAAGACCGAUACCAGUUUGGCCUCUGUGGGGAUAAUCUGAAGCUACAUCCAGUCAGAGAAUGCAGAAAUAACAAGCAUCAAAACGCACACACCACGAAACAGGAGAGGACAGCUGCGUGAUGGGACCAGGUGAGGCCUGAUCAGAAAGACCUCGUAGCACCAACCACACCUGGGCCUACAAACACCUACAACACACCUUAAAACAUCCAGCAGCCUUAAAGCUUACCGAUCUGAGAGAGAUCCCUCCUGCUCCUCAGUGGAGAACAACUCGUGAACAACACAGUGUGCUCCAGUUCGCUACAAACAAGCACCUCUAAUCUGUCUUUGUUGAAUGCAGAAGAUAAACGUUCCCAGAGAAAGAAAAAAUAACGAAAGAAAAAAAGGGAAACCUUGAAUUUAAAACUGGUCAGACACGCUUUGACAGAGUGUGAGAGUCUUGGAGACUUUGACAGAGUGUGACUAGCCCUGGCACAGAAAUAACUGGAAACCAUAAAAUUACUUGAAUUACAGUAAUCCUUUCCCAGCUCAGAGUAACUUGCCCUUUAGUUUACACCUUUGUUUUCUACUUCAGGUUCAACUAAUGGCCCAAACACUGCGUUAGAGGAGCUCACAGAACUAAUUACAGAACCAGGCUUUAUUAAAAAUGGAGGCUGAAAUAUGUUGAGAUGUAAAUCACUGGCGUGCGCUUCUGUGCGUAAAAUACGCAUCUGCCUAGGUAGGUGUUAAAAAUAACCAUCUUUUGCAAACUUAUCCCCGUGGUUAAAAUGAACCAUCAUUGCUGGUAGAGUCAGAAGGUCAUCAGUGCUGACCAGUAGCUCUGCUGUGCCUCUUUUGGCCUAAAGGAAAUUAAAAUCAUACUGUCCAGUCAGCUGAUAUGCGACCGCAAAAGCGAUCCUUUUAAUGUAUUUGUCGUAUUAUCGGUGUCAUAUUUACAUACAUAGAUCUACCUAUGACAGUAACUGAAUUAAUUCCAACAUUCAUCCAUUCUACAGGACAAAGCACUAGAUUAAAUACCUCUUUCACUUCGAAGGGAGUUCAGUUAUGUUAAGUUCUCUUACCUUUUCUGUCCAUUCCCAACUGAGCCAAAGUCCUGAUCCAUCAUAACUGCCUCCCUUACUUCCUUAAUUCCUCCCAGUCUGCUUCUCCUCAGCCAUGAAACCCAGAAUUUAAUCAGUGAAAUGACAGACUAGUUUUGCUUGGAACAACUUUUGCACAUCAUCAUUUCCACCAAUGCGGGAGCAGAGAGAGGGAGGAACACACAGACAGUCAGUCGAGAUGGGCGGAACUAUCCAAAUAUCCCUAAUAUUGAUAACAGCGUUGGUAUCGAUAUUGAACGACGGAUGUCCUCUCAUUUCCAUUCUACGAGGACCUGAGACCCGCAGGUUUUCUCCUGAGAACAAACAGGAGCACAGAGGCUGCACAGAGGAUGAACAUUUUAGGAAAAACACGUCAUUGCUGCCUUAAUGGGACUUAUGGAAGAAGACCGAUACCAGUUUGGCCUCUGUGGGGAUAAUCUGAAGCUACAUCCAGUCAGAGAAUGCAGGUAAACAAAUGAGCCAAUCAACACCUCUAUGACUCAUACACUAUCGUCCAAAAGUUUGGGGUCAAAGAAAAAGUGUUUUUUUCAAUGAAGAUAACAUUAAAUUAAUCAGAAAUACAGUCUAGACAUUGUUAAUGUGAUAAGUGUUACGGUUUGGUGGAAUUUUCACACCAAACCUUGCAGUAA